AAGAGAAAUAGCCCAUUUUCUCUGUGUAAAUCAAGUCUGCUUCAAAGCCCGAUUGCUUUCUGACCUCUAAAUAUUUUUAGUUUCAACCUGACUCCUCUUGUUUAAUUCCGAUUAGAAAUAGCUAUAACUAUUAUCAACUCCAGAAUUUUUUUGAUCCUAGGAAACUGAAAAUCAGAGAAAAAUGGCUACGGCAUUCAGCGGCGAUGAGACUGCUCCUUUCU
rnacentral:misc_RNA from 1 species